CGGGCUGUGGUAUAGUGGUAUUACGUACGCUUCGGGUGCGUAUAACCCGAGUUCGAUUCUCGGCAGCCCGACAA
rnacentral:tRNA from 1 species